UUAGCACACUAUUGGUAAUAAGUGCAGACAUAAGAUAUCUUAUUAAACUCAGAGCAACAUGUUUUUCCUUUUAUUACAUUAGCUUACAUCAAUUAAUUUUGCUAGGGCCAAUUCGGACAAGUACAAAGUACCAUAUGAAAUCAUUGUAAUAUAAAUUUUGAGUUCCAACUUACAAAAACGUGAUUAAUCAUCAUGUAGAGCAAGAAUGAGAUAUUCACGAGUCAUUCUUUCAGUUACUCAAAAUAGGCUAUCAUUUACCAAAAUGAUCUAAAUAUCCUAAGUUAUUCUUUCAGUUAUUCAAAAUAAGCUAUAUCAUUUAACAAAACAAUUUUCCUUUUUUUUUUAAUAAUAUUAUUGGCAACUUUAUACAUGUGUUGUCCAGAGGUCUUUUUCAAGUUUUUUAUAUUUUAAAAAUGGUCAGAUAAUAAUCCCAUAUGAUUAACCUUUAAAUGUUGGUUAUGCUUUAAAUAGUCACCCUAAAGGUAAUUACUAGUUUAUGAUAAACUACAUUUUUUCUUGGGAAAAUGGCUAAGAAACCUAGAUUAUGGCCGGAUUUGUAGUAACACUCUCAUACUUACGGGGAUUCUAUUACCUUCUAGAUUAUUUUUUUAGUGCAUUUAUUUUGCAUUUUAAGUCAGGUGCACAUACGCGCUGAACAAAAGCCCAAAAGACCCCUAUUUCGAUCCUUUUCUGUUGGAUAUUUAAAUUUGGAUAACGGGUCGCCCAUGUGGACUGACCCAACCCAUUUAGAAAAGGAUAAGAUUGAGGAGUUACGAGGCACGUUACCCUGGAAGUUACAAGUCCAUACAACCACUAUAUUUGUGGUGAAUGAACGUGUAGUGUGGUUUUGAAAUAAGUGAAUUGCUCCUCUCUCUCUUCAGUAAGAAAAAUACACAUUCUCCUUCUUCAACAGAGAAGAGUUUUUUCUUCUACUUCUUAAUAGAAACACACUAAAAAAGACAUUUAGUUUGUGAAACAUAACUUUGUUUCCAAGAGAUUCAAAGCUCGAUUUUGGGGUAAUUUUUUGUGGCAAGUUCAACGAUUUAUCUUCUGCUGCUUUAAGACAUGGCUGGACGGAGACAUGCUCGAAAUGCACCAACUGAGAGUGGUGGUAAAAGUCAAGCAAAAGGACAACAUAGAAGAAUGCAUCGUCAAAGGACUAUAUUUAGUAAUGAUUCAGACUCUGAGCCUGAAGUCAUCAAAAAUGUCUCAAGGACGAUACAAAAUAUCUUUAGAGAGGAUAGAGUUGUGCAAAGGGAAGGAGAAAGAAAAUUUGUAGAAUUUUAAAAAAUCAAAAUGGACCCAUUUGCAUCUAUACCAAGCUAUAUUCAUCUUUUGGGGAGGAAGCUGUCAGGACUAAUGUUUCAACAUUUUAAAAUUGUUUCGAGUUAGGAUGUCGUGGGAAUAUUGGAGCAAUCUAUACCAGAUUAUUGGAAGGGUCAGUUGGCUGAUAUUUAUCACAAGCUUGGUCCAAAUGCACCCAUUUGGAUGUACACUAUGGAACUUGAAUCCAAGUGGGAGGAAAAGAAAAUAGCAACUAAGGUUAAGAAAUCUUGGCUACUAAAGACUUGUUCUAGACCCAUAUUGAGUCCGAUAGUUCCUAAAUCUCAGCUUUCUAGACUUUCUCCCAUAGAAGAAUUGGCUAAAUAGCGGCUGAAAGUUUUUUAAAUCCUAGUCACCCGCGUAAUGAGAAGAAAGCCAUAGACAAGUAGUAUAUGACUUGUAAUUGUGUAAAUUCCUUUUAUGAACAUAUGUUUGUUUAUCUCUUCUGUUAAUA